AAACAAGGAAAAUUCAAAAAAAAGUAUGAUCAUAAUCAAGAAAAAACUCCAUCUCCAUUUAUGUAUCCAGAUAGAUAAUUUUUCAUGUUCCAACUAAUACCGAUCAAGCUAAUUUAGUACUCCAAAUCACAAAAAAAUCAUCUUCAUACAUGCAUCAAGAUAGAUAACUUAAAGCGCCAUAAUUUAAUUCUCCAAAUCAUAAAAAAUCAUCUCCAUUCAUGCAUCUAAAUUACAAAAAAAUCAUCAUAUUCAUUCUGGUGCAACCCAAGGUCUUGGUCUUGCCUUCCCCUUCCUCUAGACUUGCAUGUUCCAUGUGACGCAACAAAAAAAAAUUCAUCAACAUUAUGAAAGCACUAUACUUUAGAUUAUAUAAGACCUCAAUGACAGAAAAAUAUUCCUUCUUUGCUCAUUUUCCCCAUCAAACUCUGGAAGACCGGCCACAGACACAGAAAGCUAGCAAACAUGAUUACUCUUCCGUAGCAUCACCGAUGGUAACAUCAGUUUUCGGUCUCAAUGGAGUGAUCUUCGUUGACAAUACCUCUGCAAACAAUAGCACUCCCAACCUUGUAUAUCUUUGCACUUAGACGCUA
rnacentral:lncRNA from 1 species